rnacentral:rRNA from 1 species
AUUGAACGCUAGCGGGAUGCUUUACACAUGCAAGUCGAACGAGGGGCGGACGGGUGAGCAAUAUAUCGGAACGUGCCCAGUAGCGGGGGAUAACUACUCGAAAGAGUGGCAAAUAGCGCAUACUAUUGGAGCGGCUGAUGUGGGAUUAGCUAGUUGGGGGGGUAAAGGCUCACCAAGGCAACGAUCCGUAGCUGGUUUGAGAGGACGACCAGCCACACUGGGACUGAGACACGGCCCAGACUCCUACGGGAGGCAGCAGUGGGGAAUUUUGGACAAUGGGGGAAAGCCUGAUCCAGCCAUCCCGCGUGUAUGAGAAGGCCUUCGGGUUGUAAAGUACUUUUGGCAGAGAAGCGGUAUCUGCAGAAUAAGCACCGGCUAACUACGUGCCAGCAGCCGCGGUAAUAC